rnacentral:rRNA from 1 species
AGAGUUUGAUCCUGGCUCAGGAUGAACGCUAGCUACAGGCUUAAUACAUGCAAGUCGAACGGUAAGGCCGAGUGCAGCAAUGCACGAGGUACACGAGUGGCGCACGGGUGCGUAACGCGUAUGCAACCUGCCCUUCACCGGGACAAAACAGCUGGAAACGGCUGCUAAUAUCCCAUGGUUACGAGAGGUGGCAUCACCAUUCGUAUAAAGAUUCAUUGGUGAGGGAUGGGCAUGCGUAUUAUUAGGUAGUUGGCGGGGUAACGGCCCACCAAGCCGACGAUGAUUAGGGGUUCUGAGAGGAUUAACCCCCACACUGGAACUGAGACACGGUCCAGACUCCUACGGGAGGCAGCAGUAGGGAAUAUUGGGCAAUGGAGGCAACUCUGACCCAGCCAUGCCGCGUGAAGGAAGACGGCCCUAUGGGUUGUAAACUUCUUUUGUCGCAGAGUAAAGUCGGUCACGUGUGGCCGUUUGAGAGUAUGCGACGAAUAAGUAUCGGCUAACUCCGUGCCAGCAGCCGCGGUAAUACGGGGGAUACGAGCGUUAUCCGGAUUUAUUGGGUUUAAAGGGUGCGCAGGCGGAUCGGUAAGUCAGGGGUGAAAAGUUGGGGCUCAACUCCAAUCGUGCCUUUGAUACUGCCGGACUAGAGUGCAAUAGACGUGGCCGGAAUGUGAUGUGUAGCGGUGAAAUGCUUAGAUAUGUCACAGAACACCGAUCGAGAAGUCAGGUCACGAGUUUGCAACUGACGCUCAGGCACGAAAGCGUGGGGAUCAAACAGGAUUAGAUACCCUGGUAGUCCACGCUGUAAACGAUGAUCACUCGUUGUUGGGCGGCGACGUUCAGCGGCCAAGCGAAAGCGAUAAGUGAUCCACCUGGGGAGUACGAUCGCAAGGUUGAAACUCAAAGGAAUUGACGGGGGCCCGCACAAGCGGAGGAGCAUGUGGUUUAAUUCGAUGAUACGCGAGGAACCUUACCCGGGCUUGAACGUAACACCAACAUACAGGAGACUGUAUGGCCUUCGGGGGUGUUGCGAGGUGCUGCAUGGUUGUCGUCAGCUCGUGCCGUGAGGUGUUAGGUUAAGUCCUGCAACGAGCGCAACCCUUACCUUCAGUUGCCAGCACGUCAUGGUGGGGACUCUGAAGGAACUGCCUACGCAAGUAGAGAGGAAGGUGGGGAUGACGUCAAAUCAGCACGGCCCUUAUGUCCGGGGCUACACACGUGCUACAAUGGCGCGCACAGAAGGCAGCGACCCUGCGAGGGGGAGCGAAUCCCGAAAGCGCGUCUCAGUUCGGAUCGGAGUCUGGAACCCGACUCCGUGAAGUUGGAUUCGCUAGUAAUCGCGCAUCAGCCAUGACGCGGUGAAUACGUUCCCGGGCCUUGUACACACCGCCCAAUCUCUAGAG